CUUAACUUGUCAAUUAAUGAUAACAACAAAACAGCAAUUGCUAAUGCAGAUGCUAUUGAACCUCUGAUUCAUGUACUAGACACAGGAAGUCCAGAGGCCAAGGAGAAUUCAGCUGCUACUCUCUUUAGCCUAUCAGUGAUUGAGGAUAACAAGGUCAGGAUAGGACGGUCUGGGGCUGUUAGACCUCUGGUUGAUUUGUUGGGGAAUGGAACUCCCAGGGGAAAGAA
rnacentral:misc_RNA from 1 species